CUGUUAACGAUUUCUGUAAAUUACACUGUAUUUUACUGUAAUAUGAACUGUAUUUUACCGUAGGGCAUGUUAUACAGUAUGUUGCUGUAUUUUGAUGUUGCAUUGUGGGAAAUGUAAUCUUUGUGCCAGUAAAAUACUGUAUUUUCUGUUUACUGUAAAAUUUACAGUUAAUUAAAAAUACUGUAUUUUAAUGGCAGGUGGUGCUAAUUUGUUUUUUGGGGGAUUAACUCUCUGAUUAAGGUUUGGUGUCGUUGCAUAGUUAAGCCUAAAGGGGACUUUGAGUUAAUGUUGAGUGUCAAGCCUUACAAUCCAAUAUAGAAAGCUAUCUUAUACAAAUAAUGUAAUAUUAUUGUAUUUAAAUAUUGAUUUAAAAUGUAAAGUAAAAUUCAGAAGACUUAAACAAAGUCCUAAAAACAAUCAAACAACUAAAUUAGUGCAAGUAGAGCUGAUUUAUUUACCAAAACACAAUAUAAUCAUCUUCAUUAAAGCUUUGUAUAUUCCAAUUAAUUUACAAAUGUAAGUGUUUAAAAAUUAGAGAUAGGUUUUGCCGGUUGUUGAUGAGUGAUGAAUACCAGCUGUGAAUUUUCUCAACGCGUGUAAGCAGCCACGACACAGGAAACCGAAACAGUGUUCCAAUAUAAAGUGAGGGUCCUUGACAGUGGCCGAACCCGCAUACUACACGAUAUAAUGAUUCCCCACCUCGGGAGCUAUAGGGAACGAAUUGAGACACAGCCCUGGAUGUAAUCACGUCUGUGCUGAUCACGUGCCUGUACACAAACCCGCAGCUCACUUGCAAAAGAUUAUCCGGUUAUUUAUUACACGUAAAGUAAACGUUUUUAAUGUUAUCAUGAAUCAAUGUUAUAGUUUUGUAUGUCACAUUAUUUUUUGAGAAGAGUCAUGACUGAACGCGGACCUUACACGCUGUUAUUUUUUUGUGUGCGUAUGGCCAAGGUACAGUGCGCUCUUUUGCACUAUGACCAGCCAUCAGUAAAUCGAAAUACAGUAAAAAAAUGAGCGCGAAACCCUGACACUUUACAGAAAGGCACGGAUAUCCCCGCCCGAAGAAAAAAAGAACACAGGACAAUGGUUGCAAGUUAAACAGCUGAACAUUUCACCAUCUGCAAAGAACAUUUCACCAUCAACAUAUUAACAUAAACGGUUCUCUUUUUCUUGUUUGACUGCGUUUGGUACAGGUCACAACAACGACGGCAGAUGUAGAGACCACGCUUUCCCUUGCUUCCACUCCACGGCUGAUCAUGCUUGAGGAUCCAGAUCUACAAAACAAAAAAUGGAUGCUGCCGAUUGAAGGCUAAGUCCGAUUUCCUGCGAUUGACCUACCAUUUCUUCAGCAUUUGCUGUUCACUUUGUGUGGCUACUACGUGCUCAACAUCGAGUACCAUGUGCAAGCAGCCACUACUUUGGAGUUUAUUCAGAGAUUUAUUGUGAGGAUCAGCCCCGACAACAGCAAGUGCUCCUCUAACUUCCAGGUGAGCAAAAGAAGUGGGAAGAUGGUGCAAAGGAAGAACUCUGGCCUGAACCAUCAUGUAUAUAUCCACCUUUAUUAAGGACUUUAUGAAUUAAGCAAAACUAUUAAGCUACUAAAGCAAAUACAUUCUACUCAACUCACCAGAGGUUUGUGAAGUUCUUUUUCUAUCUUAAAGGUUUCUUUUAGUUAAUUUGUCCAUGCACUGAUUUAUAAUAUUGUAAUAUGAAACUACUGUUGCUUCUAAAAGCAAAAUAAGUCUAUGCAGGAGAGGUUUUGUUACGUUUUUUUUUUAAAUUAUUCUUAUAGACGGUUUCAUCGGACGCACAUGACACACGUCUGGAUCCGAUCCUUACUUCCGGUUUCGCUUUUUUAAUGGUCUGACUAGUUGCUAAACUGAUCUCUUGAACAAAAGCUUAGUUGAAAAUAACAAAUG